UCACUAUAUACCUAAUGUAUGGCGGACUUUUCAAGAAACAAUCUAUAUGGGUAGUUAUAUACCGCUAAGCAUUAUUUUUCUGUCGUCGUCGUAUCAUAUAAUAAUUGUAUAACUUGUCUUUUGAGUCUAUACCAGACGUCUAAAUUAUAAAUGUAUUCAGACUCCACUGUAGUCAACGAAAAUGACGACAAAAUACCUUACUGCAAAAGUCCCGCGGAUAUAUUAUCAUUGCAA